rnacentral:lncRNA from 1 species
CAGGGUAAACGACUUUUGGUUGCAGGUUUCCGACACUUGGACAUCUGGCACACGACGCCAGGACAUCUUCCCAUCGACUUCAGGACUAGUGGUUCCCGACAUUUGGACACAACAACAAAAUGUUGCUGAACCCAAUUAGCAGAAUACUCGACCAGUACUCAGCGACGAAAAGACUUCCAGUUAAACGACGAGUGGACUCCCAGGCAAUCGACGUUCGAACUCCCGGGAACUCCUCAUCCAGCGACAAAAGGACUCCCAAUCCAGUGACGCACGGAUUUGCUUAUUUGUUGCAGCUAAAGGAUCGUUAAGAACAUAGUCAGACUUCUUUCCCUUCUUCCAUUCUGAAAUGGAACGAACAUGGGUAACCAUGUUUGGAACGAACAUGGGUAACCAUGUUUGUUCCAGUCAGACUUCUUUCCCUUCUUGUAUUCUACACCAAAUUGUACUAUACACGUGAGUGGCGAUAUGCACGUAAUGCUACAGUUCACCGCAAAGCCAAAGCAGAAUGUCACAGACCUACAAAAGCCAAAAUGAAAGAAGUUUUCUGCAACCAAAAUCCAUUUGUACCCACAGUUGCAGGUCCACAGCAGCACAGGCAGUCAGACACACUGUACACAAACAGUUUGUAGUUCAAAUUUUAAUGUAUUAAACAACAUAAAUACAAAAUUCUUCGUUCA